AGCGAACGCUAGCGGCGGGCCUAACACAUGCAAGUCGAGCGGGGAGCAAUCCCAGCGGCGAACGGGUGAGUAACACGUGGGUAAUGUGCCUUCUGGUGGGGAAUAACCUUGGGAAACCAGGGCUAAUACCGCAUAUCGUGCUUCGGCAUGAAAGCCUUCGGGCGCCAGUAGAGCAGCCUGCGUCCCAUUAUUUAGUCCUAGUUGGUAGGGUAAUGGCCUACCAAGGGUACGAUGGGUAGCUGGUCUGAGAGGAUGAUCAGCCACACUGGAACUGAGACACGGUCCAGACUCCUACGGGAGGCAGCAGUGGGGAAUAUUGCGCAAUGGGGGAAACCCUGACGCAGCCACGCCGCGUGAGUGAUGAAGGCCUCGGUUGUAAGACGUCUGUCGGAGGGACGGAAGGGAGGACGAAUCUACUGACGGUACCGUACGC
rnacentral:rRNA from 1 species